UGGAUCAGUGAUGACCGCUGGUGGCGUAUGAAUCGUAUAUGAUGAAUACUGUCUGCAACUCUGAGGUCCAA